AUGGGCAUAAGAGAUCUGAAAGAGACGCAUGUGGUCCCGUCCUGGAUCUCAUUGUUUGCUGAAUUUUUGUGGACGGAAGAAUUUUACGGUGCUUUGUGGAUGUUCCUUAUGGAUGGGGGCUGGGAGUCUCACGUGGAAGAAUUGAUUCAUAUGGCUUCUGGCGGUCAAUGCCGUAGUGUCGCAUUAUCGAUCCCAGCUAGCCGUAAACAGAUUGACAUAUAUCUUGAAUUAUUUUGUUAG
rnacentral:rRNA from 1 species